AACAAACGCUGGCGGCGUGCCUAACACAUGCAAGUCGAGCGGAGAUAUAUGGAAGGUUUACCGGAAAUAUAUCUUAGCGGCGGACGGGUGAGUAACGCGUGGGCAACCUGCCUCAUACAGGGGGAUAACACAGGGAAACUUGUGCUAAUACCGCAUGAAAUCAUAGUAUGGCAUCAUACAAUGAUCAAAGGAGCAAUCCGGUAUGAGAUGGGCCCGCGUCCGAUUAGCUAGUUGGUGAGGUAACGGCUCACCAAGGCGACGAUCGGUAGCCAAACUGAGAGGUUGAUCGGCCACAUUGGGACUGAGACACGGCCCAGACUCCUACGGGAGGCAGCAGUGGGGAAUAUUGCGCAAUGGGCGAAAGCCUGACCCAGCAACGCCGCGUGGAGGAAGAAGGCCUUCGGUUGUAACUACCUGUCCGAGGACGAAGUAGGUGACGGUACCGUUCGGUAGGAAGCCCGGCGUAACUCCGUCGCCACGCAGCCGCGGUAAGUCAUACUCG
rnacentral:rRNA from 1 species